UUAUGGAUUAUUGAAGGAAUAAAUAAAAAGAAAAAAAUUGAUGAAAACUAAUCCUUGUAAAGGAUGGAGGCAAAUAUCGUAUCGCUUAAGAUUGAGAAUAGAAGUUCAUUAAUUAUGGUCCUUCAAAUUCAUGCCAGGAGUAGUGUUUUAGGUCUAGUCUCCUUUUGUGUGAUUAAAUAAAAAAAUGAACAUUAAUGUACUUUGUAUUUGAGGAACUAAAUGACUUAAUAUGUAAUAGUACUCCUUUUACAUUAAGUGUCGGGACAUAAAAAUAUACUAUUAUUUUGUAUUUGUAAUUUUAAUUGCAAGGAAACAA